AAAUGCAUUAGAAUUAGAAUCUAAAUA
rnacentral:tRNA from 1 species